CUCAGCAGGGCAGAGGUGGCAGGGAGCAGCUGGGGCUGCCGCAUCAACAGAGAGAGCGGCAGUCGUUGGAUGUGUGGAAGGACCUGGGCAAAGCUUUGAUUUUGUGUGGGAGUCUGUGAGUUAAUGUUGGAUGCUUUAUUCCCACUGGGGCACCUGGAAGAACUUACCUGACCAGCAAAUUGGAAUCAAACGGAGGAGGAAUGAAGAAGGCUCACCUCAGCUCAUUUCUAGAAAUAAAAAGAAGCAAAACCAAUGCUGUAAUGGCUCCCCCGAGGAGCCCUCCAACCCUGGUGCUGGUAACGGAUCCUGUGAGUUCAGCUCGCCUCACCUGCCAGGUGUGUCAUAAGCUCUGUACGUGCACUAUUCUAAUUCUGAAAGCAAAUCCUUAAGAUUUGCAAAUUCUGAAAGCAAAUCCUUAAGAUCCACAUGACCUCAUUUUGAGAUGAUAAGACUGACACAGAGAAGCUCAGGAGCUCACCUG
rnacentral:lncRNA from 1 species